CUUUGCAAGAUUAACAUUAACCUUUAACCCCGAAACUUAAGUGAGCUGACUGCCAUUUGUUAAGAACCCAAUAUAUGGUGUAGCAAUAUCAAUACAAAAAUGACUGUCAGAGGCUACAUACCUUCCGCACUAAGAGAUAUCUGGUUUUUCAACCAACCCAGCCUAAGCUGCACAAGCUAAUACCCUAAACAAUGUUCAUAUAUUAGCUAAUAAACUAAAUUAAAGAUAACCUUAAUUUAUACUUUUAUUCCAAAAAAAUUACUCUCAACCGUAAGCUUAAAGUCAGCUAACAUCAAAUCACGUUUUAGCAUUACAUAAAAUAAAAAUUAAAAAAAAAUAUAAAAUUCAACGAAAUAAGUCUGCUAAUUACACACAGACUAAAACUAUGCAAAGAUCAGUAUUAAAUUUCCUACACACAAUAUAGCCACCCUAUAUGUGGAAAAGGAACUCGGCAAACUUUUAUUUCGACUGUUUAACAAAAACAUUGCCUAUAGAACAUAUCAUUAUAGGUACUCCCUGCCCAGUGAACUAUUUUAACGGCCGCGGUACCCUGACCGUGCAAAGGUAGCAUAAUAAUUUGCCUCUUAAUUCGAGGCUAGAAUGAACGGGUAAACGAAAAUAAAGCUGUCUCUUCCACAUCCAUAAAAAUUUUUCUUCAGGUGAAGAAACCUGAAUUCAUAUAAAAGACAAGAAGACCCUGACGAGCUUUAAUUCUUAAAAUACAAUUUAUCUAUUCCACAUUUCAAAGAACAUUUAUUGGGGCGAUACUGGAACAAACAAAACUUCCAUCAUACAUAAGACAUCAAGUCUCCCAAAAGAUCCCACAAAGAUCUCAGGCACAAGCUACCGCAGGGAUAACAGGCUAAUUUUCCUUAAGAGCCCAAAUCUACAGGAAAGUUUGGCACCUCGAUGUUGGCUUAAAGGUUCUUUUAGGUGCACCAGCCUAAAAAGUGGGUUUGUUCAACCCUUAAUACUUUACAUGAG
rnacentral:rRNA from 1 species